GACAGAGGUGCCGAGCGUUAGGCGGAAUCACUGGGCUUAAAGCGUGUGUAGGCGGGUCGUUAAGUACCUUGUGAAAUCCCAUGGCUCAACCAUGGAACGGCUGGGUAUACUGGCGAUCUUGAGCGAUCUAGGGGCAGAUGGAACAAGUGGUGGAGCGGUGAAAUGCGUAGAUAUCACUUGGAACGCCAAAGGUGAAAACAGGUUGCUGGGAGUGUGCUGACGCUGAGACACGAAAGCCAGGGGAGCAAACGGG
rnacentral:rRNA from 1 species